GACGAACGCUGGCGGCGUGCCUAAUACAUGCAAGUUGAGCGCUGAAGGUUGGUACUUGUACCAACUGGAUGAGCAGCGAACGGGUGAGUAACGCGUGGGGAAUCUGCCUUUGAGCGGGGGACAACAUUUGGAAACGAAUGCUAAUACCGCAUAAAAACUUUAAACACAAGUUUUAAGUUUGAAAGAUGCAAUUGCAUCACUCAAAGAUGAUCCCGCGUUGUAUUAGCUAGUUGGUGAGGUAAAGGCUCACCAAGGCGAUGAUACAUAGCCGACCUGAGAGGGUGAUCGGCCACAUUGGGACUGUGACACGGCCCAAACUCCUACGGGAGGCAGCAGUAGGGAAUCUUCGGCAAUGGACGAAAGUCUGACCGAGCAACGCCGCGUGAGUGAAGAAGGUGUUCGGAUCGUAAAACUCUGUUGGUAGAGAAGAACGUUUGUGAGAGUGGAAAGCUCAUCAAGUGACGGUAACUACCCAGAAAGGGACGGCUAACUACGUG
rnacentral:rRNA from 1 species